rnacentral:tRNA from 1 species
CGUGAGCAUAGUUUAACUAWAAACACUAAGUUGUGGACUUAAAAUUAAAGACUACUCUUUUGCCCACC